rnacentral:scRNA from 1 species
GGUAUAGCUCUUCAAAUCUUCCGGACGAUGAG